AUUGAACGCUGGCGGCAGGCCUAAAACAUGCUAGUCGGGCGUGCGGCGGACGGGUGAGUAAUGUAUGGGGAUCUGCCUGAUGGAGGGGGAUGACUAAUGGAAACGGUAGCUAAUACCGCAUACCAUCAGAUGAACCCAUAGGGGAUUAGCUUGUAGGUAAGGUACCGGCUUACCUAGGCGACGAUCCCUAGCUGGUCUUAGAGGAUGAUCAGCCACACUGUGACUGAGACACGGCCCAGACUCCUACGGGAGGCAGCAGGGGGGAAUAUUUCACAAUGGGCGCAACCCUGAAGCAGCCAGGCCGCGUGUAUGAAGAAGGCCGUCGGGUUGUAAAGUACUUGCAGUCGGGAGGCGUUACCGACAGAAGAAGCACCGGCUAACUCCGUGCCAGCAGCGCGGUAAUAC
rnacentral:rRNA from 1 species